GGAAUUUUCCGCAAUGGGCGAAAGCCUGACGGAGCAAUCUCGCGUGAGGGAUGACGGCCUAUGGGUUGUAAACCUCUUUUUUCAGGGAGGAAUCAAUGACGUGUACCUGAAGAAUAAGCAUCGGCUAACUCCGUGCCAGCAGCCGCGGUAAGACGGAGGAUGCAAGUGUUAUCCGGAAUCACUGGGCGUAAAGCGUCUGUAGGUGGUUUAAUAAGUCAACUGUUAAAUCUUGAAGCUCAACUUCGAAAUCGCAGUCGAAACUAUUAGACUAGAGUAUAGUAGGGGUAAAGGGAAUUUCCAGUGGAGCGGUGAAAUGCGUAGAUAUUGGAAGGAACACCGAUGGCGAAGGCACUUUACUGGGCUACUACUAACACUGAGAGACGAAAGCUAGGGUAGCAAAUGGGAUUAGAUACCCCAGUAGUC
rnacentral:rRNA from 1 species